rnacentral:rRNA from 1 species
GUAGGUGGCAAGCGUUGUCCGGAAUUAUUGGGCGUAAAGCGCGCGCAGGCGGUUCUUUAAGUCUGAUGUGAAAGCCCACGGCUCGACCGUGGAGGGUCAUUGGAAACUGGAGAACUUGAGUACAGAAGAGGAAAGCGGAAUUCCACGUGUAGCGGUGAAAUGCGUAGAGAUGUGGAGGAACACCAGUGGCGAAGGCGGCUUUCUGGUCUGUAACUGACGCUGAGGCGCGAAAGCGUGGGGAGCAAACAGGAUUAGAUACCCUGGUAGUCCACGCCGUGAACGAUGAGUGCUAAGUGUUAGGGGGUUUCCGCCCCUUAGUGCUGCAGCUAACGCAUUAAGCACUCCGCCUGGGAGUACGGCCGCAAGGCUG